UUGGUGAAGUAGGUAACCUGCCACCGAAAAGAUCCAAUAUUAUAAAUGGCAACACUGUCAAAUUGCGGGAACGUCCUAAAGACGUCGUGUACCAAGUUAAUGGAGAAAUCUAUUAAUGGCCGAGAUUGGAACUCGGGUAUGGUAAAAAUCACGCGUAUGAUUAAAUAGAUUUAAUCUAUUUAUGAAAUGGAUAAUCCGCAGCCAAGUCCUAAAUACCGUUACUUUGAUGAGUAUUUCAAAAAUAAUUUUUGGAAUCACGGUACAUGGAUGCUGUUCAGAGACUAAAUGUCAGUGGCGAUGAAAGAAACUAAUCAUUUCUUGAUGAUUCGUUAAGUUAUAGUCCGGCCACAUGGGAAACUAUGUG
rfam:Megavirus chiliensis, complete genome.